rnacentral:rRNA from 1 species
AUUGAACGCUGGCGGCAGGCUUAACACAUGCAAGUCGAGCGGAGAUGAGGUGCUUGCACCUUAUCUUAGCGGCGGACGGGUGAGUAAUGCUUAGGAAUCUGCCUAUUAGUGGGGGACAACAUUCCGAAAGGAAUGCUAAUACCGCAUACGCCCUACGGGGGAAAGCAGGGGAUCUUCGGACCUUGCGCUAAUAGAUGAGCCUAAGUCGGAUUAGCUAGUUGGUGGGGUAAAGGCCUACCAAGGCGACGAUCUGUAGCGGGUCUGAGAGGAUGGUCCGCCACACUGGGACUGAGACACGGCCCAGACUCCUACGGGAGGCGGCAGUGGGGAAUAUUGGACAAUGGGCGGAAGCCUGAUCCAGCCAUGCCGCGUGUGUGAAGAAGGCCUUUUGGUUGUAAAGCACUUUAAGCGAGGAGGAGGCUACCUGGAUUAAUACUCUAGGAUAGUGGACGUUACUCGCAGAAUAAGCACCGGCUAACUCUGUGCCAGCCGCCGCCGUAAGAC